CUUUAUUCUGGUUUUAGCUGACUUGCGUCUGCAUGUGGUCGGUGCUCUCGUUGUCAGCAGAGUGGCUGUGUCAACAGCCGCUUCUUUGUUUGGCGUCUUGCCGCGGAUAUUCUGUUUGGCUGAUGAAUGUGACGACAUCCGUCCUCUUCUAGUGGAGUGACCAUGGUGAGCAAUCGACUGAAGUCUGGGCUACUGAGCCGAAAGUACUCCCUAUAGUCGAGCCUCAUCCAGCCCAAGCUCCUGGAUCAAGGAAUGAAACACUCCCCACUCGUCGUUUCAGGAACUUUCUUCAUUGUCGCAACAGACACAGGAUGCUUUUAUCCAAAGUGACUUAAGCAACCAGGAGAAAAGAGUCUUGCUCAAGGACACAACAGUGUUGACGGCUGCGGACAAAAAUUAGUAUGUAACAAAAAUUAGUAUGUAAUUGUAAACAUAUGAAAUGAAAUUUGGCAAGAAGUUGAAAGCUGACAAUCUGAAUUGUAAAACAUUUUAACCUGUGUAAAUGUUUUACAGGUUGUCGUGUUCAUGAAGUGAAGGCACAUGAAUGAUCGAAGCAGACACAGCAGCAGCCAGAUUUGGAGAUGCAUUGCAUUUAUUGUACAAAAUAGUGAAUUCUCCCUAAAACAAGUAAUAUAAAAUAUAUUCAAAUGUAUAAAUAGCAUAAAAAAACACAAAUAAGAUCAACAAUGCAGUGCACUUCCACAAUCUCUUAAAAACAAGUAAUAAAAUACAAAUAUCAGAUUACAAAAUAAAUAAAUUAGACCAAAAUAAGUUUGCUCAUGUACAUGCCAUAACAAACUGAAAAGUCCUAAACAACAUUUUAC
ensembl:lncRNA